CCAAAGGCUCUUUUCAGAGCCACCCACACAGCAACAUUUAC
rfam:Xenopus laevis strain J chromosome 3L, whole genome shotgun sequence.